CUGGUUGAUCCUGCCUGAACUGAUGUGUUUAUUUCAAAGAUUAAGCCAUGCAUGUAUAAGUAGAAACGAUUUCGAUCGUGAAACCGCGAACGGCUCAUUACAACAGCUGUAAUUUACUUGAUCUUGACGCAUCCUACAUGGAUAACUGUGGUAAUUCUAGAGCUAAUACAUGCACCAAAGCUCUGCCCCCUCGGGGAAGAGUGCAUUUAUUAGAGCAAAACCAGGCGGCCUUCGGGCCGUUCCUCGUUGACUCAGAAUAACUCAAGCUGAUCGCAUGGUCCAGUACCGGCGACGUGUCUUUCAAGUGUCUGCCUUAUCAACUUUCGAUGGUAGUGUAUCUGACUACCAUGGUUGUGACGGGUAACGGAGGAUAAGGGUUCGACUCCGGAGAAGGGGCCUGAGAAAUGGCCACUACGUCUAAGGAUGGCAGCAGGCGCGCAAAUUACCCACUCUCGGCAAGAGGAGGUAGUGACGAAAAAUAACGAGACCGUUCUCACAAGAGGCCGGUCAUCGGAAUGGGUACAAUCUAAACCCUUUAACGAGUAUCUAUGCGUGGGCAAGUCUGGU
rnacentral:rRNA from 1 species